AGCAGUAAAUGUGGAGCCGUAGCGAAAGCGAGUCUGAAUAGGGCGUUUAGUAUUUGGUCGUAGACCCGAAACCAGGUGAUCUACCCUUGGUCAGGUUGAAGUUCAGGUAACACUGAAUGGAGGACCGAACCGACUUACGUUGAAAAGUGAGCGGAUGAACUGAGGGUAGCGGAGAAAUUCCAAUCGAACCUGGAGAUAGCUGGUUCUCUCCGAAAUAGCUUUAGGGCUAGCCUCAAGUGAUGAUUAUUGGAGGUAGAGCACUGUUUGGACGAGGGGCCCCUCUCGGGUUACCGAAUUCAGACAAACUCCGAAUGCCAAUUAAUUUAACUUGGGAGUCAGAACAUGGGUGAUAAGGUCCGUGUUCGAAAGGGAAACAGCCCAGACCACCAGCUAAGGUCCCAAAAUAUAUGUUAAGUGGAAAAGGAUGUGGCGUUGCCCAGACAACUAGGAUGUUGGCUUAGAAGCAGCCAUCAUUUAAAG
rnacentral:rRNA from 1 species